GGCAUUUCCAUGCUCGAAAGGGAAAUGGUGAGCUGAGCUAAGAAUGUUGAAAAAAUUAUGCAGAAGAAGAAAAGGGCCAAGACUUAUCUUGCCGUGGACUCUCCUACUCCUGCACUGAAGAAAGCCAAAGAGACUGAGCCAUUGGUUUCUCCAGUUGGUGGUGAUUAGCAGGUGAUUCCUCCAAUUACAGAAGCUAGUGCUGAUGCUAUUUUGCCUAUAAUCUCUCUACCUGCUGCUCAAUAGACUGUCAAGCAGCUUUUGUCUAUGUAGUUAAUGGUAAAGAAUUUCAAGCUCGCUGUUUAGUUUGCUAAGCGAUACACCCUUUUAAUCGACCGAGCUUGCCUCCAUGUUGAUGAUGAUAAUGAGCUCACCCUUCAAGCUGUGACUUUGCAAAUCAAGUAAAUAGCUUGUUCUCAGCUGCUUCGUGAGCAUAAUAGAGCUUUAAUGGGGUAUGCUAGUGCAUAGGAAAUAGAGAUUGCUCUGUUGACUGAGUGUGAGCAGGAGGGUGAGCUACAAAAGUUAAAAGAAAAGGUGAAGGGACUCGAGGCUGAGCUAAAGAUUGCCCAGGAAGAGAAAACUGACAUGAAGAAGAAAAUUGAAAUGAAAAUACUGAGCUCACUGCCACUAACGAGUGUUUAGCUGACAUCUAAGUAAAAGCCCAGAACAACAUUGUCGUUGAACUAUAGCGCCGUUAUUCGAGAGAUGAUUUC
rnacentral:misc_RNA from 1 species